CCCGAACCUCGCUAGGCCCAGGAUGGGCACAGGCCCAGCGCCUGCUAGGGCCCAAACCUUGCUACGCUUGGGAUAUGCACAUGCACUGACCCAGAGCCCGAACUUCGCUAGGCCCAGGAUACGCACCGGGCCGGAGCCUGCUCAGGCGGGACCCUGCAGGCUCAGGAUGUGCCCCAAGUCUGCAGAGGCCCAAACCUGUUCCUCCUAGAGUUUUGUGCAAAAUCCUGCUUCAGAUAAAUCCUGCUCAGCCUCCACCCGCUCCUAGACCCAGGCCAGAUCAGCAUUGUCCCGAUGCUACUAGGUCCAAAGCCUUUUGAGGCCAGACCUUGUUUCAACUCCAAAGCCUGCUAGGCCCCAGGACCCCCUUUUCUCCCCCUGUGAAAAUCGCUUGCUUCUUUCUCAUACAGGCUCCAAGUCAUCAUGGCAGCCACUGAGAUCUCUGUCCUUUCUGAGCAAUUCACCAAAAUCAAAGAACUCGAGUUGAUGCCGGAAAAAGGCCUGAAGGAGGAGGAAGAAGACGGAGUGUACAGAGAGAAAGACCAUCGGAGUCCUGGUGAGCUGGAGGCCGAGUGUACCGCUGGGGCCCUCCAGGACAGUGUCCUGGAGGAAGAGCUGGAGCUGGUGCCCGCUUCCUCCGAGGAGAGUGAGAAGCACAUCCUGACCCUGCAGACGGCGCCCUUCACGUCUGAAGCUUUCGAGUUGCAGGAUUUGAGCUUGCUGAGCAUACAGCAGCAGGAAGGGGGGCAGGUGAUGGUGCAGCAGGCUGGCCCUGGGUUGCUGUGGCUUGAGGAGGGGCCCCAGCAGAGCUUGCAGCAGUAUUUGGCCAUUAGUAUCCAGGAAGAGCUGUACUCCCUGCAAGAGAUGGAGGUGUUGCAGCUCCACCUUCUAGAGGAUAAUGUGCUGGCCAGUGAAGAGAGCAAGUUAGCAGGGAGCCUGGCUGAAAGUGCUGGACUGACUAAGCUCCAGGAAAGGCAGGAGAAAGAGCAGUUAUUGCCUGAAAGGAGAUUGGCUGAAAGAACAAAGGAGCAAUUCUUACAUUUGGGAGCGAUGCCAGGAGACAAAGGAAGUGACGAAAUCUUUCUGAAAAUUUCAAAUUUAAACGUGGAAGAACAAGAGGAUCAACCUAUAGCUGUUCCAGCAAAUGUUGAAAAGGCCAAAUCUGCAAAAAAUCAAAGGCAGACAAAGGGAGCAAAGCGAACCUUCUGCUGUGAUGUCUGCGUGUUCACCUCUUCAAGAAUGUCAAGUUUUCAUCGUCACAUGAAAACUCACACCAGUGAGAAGCCUCACCUGUGUCACCUCUGCCUGAAAACCUUCCGCACAGCCACUCUGCUACGGAACCAUGUCAAUACCCACACAGGAACCAGGCCCUAUAAGUGUAGCGACUGCAACAUGGCAUUUGUCACCAGUGGAGAACUUGUCCGACACAGACGCUAUAAACAUACUCAUGAGAAACCCUUUAAAUGCUCCAUGUGCAAGUACGCCAGCGUAGAGGCAAGUAAACUGAAGCGCCAUGUUCGAUCCCACACGGGGGAGCGCCCCUUCCAGUGCUGCCAGUGCAGCUACGCCAGCAGAGACACCUACAAACUGAAACGCCACAUGAGAACGCACUCAGGUGAGAAGCCUUACGAAUGCCACGUCUGCCACGCCCGCUUCACGCAGAGUGGGACCAUGAAAAUACAUACUCAGCAGAAACACAACGAAAACGUCCCCAAACACCAGUGUCCCCAUUGUGCCACCAUCAUUGCACGGAAAAGUGACCUACGAUUCUUGGGCCUCCCUUUUUCCAUGAUCCUAUUUCUCUUUCCAAAAUAUACAACACUGUGAUAUGCAAAAUAUGUUAGCAAAACAAAAUAUUUACCCUUUUGGCCAAAGAAAUUCUGGAGAGAAGAUGAACUUUUUGAAAACUUUUCUGAAAGGCUAAGGGUGUUUCACAGAGUCUUAACUUUUAUUUUUCAUCUGGACCAUUUUGUUAUUGUUGCCAUAGAUAUUAGCACAUCACGAAACAGCCCAGUGGGGCGUAAGUCUACCCAGUUGCUAGACUUUUUUGACACCAUGGCAGAGUAACCCAGUUUAUAUCUAUCUCAUGCCAGUGGGUGAUACACUUUGAAUAGCCUGUGGGAUGCUUUAUAAGCACGUUAGUUCUUCCUUCCCAUAACUAUAUGAGAAUUCAGGCUCUCUAAAUGUGUGAGUCACUGUGGGUAAAGUGGAAUACCUCUAUCAUGCAGCUAUCGAUUGUCAUUUGGUUUCUUACACAAAUAUCACAAAGCCACCAUUCUUUAGACUUAGAUGAGCAAAACUUACCCUAGAGCAUACCCAGCCAGACCUUACUGGGUCUAUCAGGUUAAUUUUAACAUAGGAAAUCACAGGGCACUGACUUCUAACAAUGUAUGGAUUUUUUAAGGUGUCCAUAUCCGCAACUUGCAUACUUACAGUGCUGCAGAGCUGAAAUGUCGCUACUGUUCUGCUGUCUUCCAUGAACGCUAUGCCCUCAUUCAGCACCAGAAAACUCAUAAAAAUGAGAAGAGGUUCAAGUGUGAACACUGCAGUUACGCCUGCAAGCAGGCACGUCAUAUGACUGCUCACGUUCGCACCCACACUGGAGAGAAACCAUUCACCUGCCUUUCCUGCAAUAAGUGUUUCCGGCAGAAGCAACUUCUAAAGGUUCACUUCAGGAAAUAUCAUGAUGCCAGUUUCAUCCCAGCUGUUUACAAAUGCCCCAAGUGUGACAAAGGCUUUUCCCGCUGGAGUAACAUGCAUAGACACUUGGAGAAGUGUGGCUCAGGGCAAGCAAAGGCAGCUGCUUCAGGAAAAGGAAGAACAAGGAAGAGGAAGCAGACUGUCGCGAAGGAGGCC